GACAGAGGGUGCAAACGUUGUUCGGAAUUACUGGGCGUAAAGCGCGUGUAGGUGGCGAGGCAAGUCGGGUGUGAAAGCCCUGGGCUCAACCCAAGAAGUGCACUCGAUACUGCCUAGCUAGAGUCCCGGAGAGGUUGGUGGAACUCUCGGUGUAGAGGUGAAAUUCGUAGAUAUUCGGAAGAACACCAGUGGCGAAGGCGACUUACUGGACACAUAUUGACGCUGAGGUGCGAAAGCGUGGGGAGCAAACAGG
rnacentral:rRNA from 1 species